GACGAACGCUGGCGGCGUGCUUAACACAUGCAAGUCGAACGAUGAAGCCGGAGCUUGCUCUGGUGAAUUAGUGGCGAACGGGUGAGUAACACGUGAGUAACCUGCCCUUGACUCUGGGAUAACUGCGGGAAACUGUAGCUAAUACCGGAUACGACCCUCGGAGGCAUCUCCUGGGGGUGGAAAGAAUUUCGGUCAAGGAUGGACUCGCGGCCUAUCAGCUAGUUGGUGAGGUAAAGGCUCACCAAGGCGACGACGGGUAGCCGGCCUGAGAGGGUGACCGGCCACACUGGGACUGAGACACGGCCCAGACUCCUACGGGGGGCAGCAGUGGGGAAUAUUGCACAAUGGGCGCAAGCCUGAUGCAGCAACGCCGCGUGAGGGAUGACGGCCUUCGGGUUGUAAACCUCUUUUAGCAGGGAAGAAGCGAAAGUGACGGUACCUGCAGAAAAAGCACCGGCUAACUACGUGCCAGCAGCCGCCGCCGUAA
rnacentral:rRNA from 1 species